AUUGAACGCUGGCGGCAGGCCUAACACAUGCAAGUCGAACGAGUGGCGGACGGGUGAGUAAUGUCUGGGAAACUGCCUGAUGGAGGGGGAUAACUACUGGAAACGGUAGCUAAUACCGCAUACCAUCAGAUGUGCCCAGAUGGGAUUAGCUAGGAGGUGGGGUAAUGGCUCACCUAGGCGACGAUCCCUAGCUGGGCUGAGAGGAUGACCAGCCACACUGGAACUGAGACACGGUCCAGACUCCUAUGGGAGGCAGCAGUGGGGAAUGUUGAACAAGGGGCGGAAGCCUGAUGCAGCCAUGCCGCGUGUGUUAAGAAGGCCAUCGUGUUGUAAAGCACUUUCAGCGAGGAGGCGUUACUCUCAGAAGAAGGACCGGCUAACUACGUGCCAGCAGCCGCGGUAAUAC
rnacentral:rRNA from 1 species